UACGAAGGGGGCUAGCGUUGUUCGGAAUUACUGGGCGUAAAGCGCGCGUAGGCGGUUUUGCAAGCCAGAGGUGAAAUGCCUGAGCUCAACUUAGGAAUUGCCUUUGGGACUGCGAGGCUUUGAGGACUGGAGAGGUGAGUGGAAUUCCCAGUGAUAGAGGUGAAAUUCGUAAGAUAUUGGGAAGAACACCAGUGGCGAAGGCGGCUCACUGGCCAGUUUCUGACGCUGCAGCG
rnacentral:rRNA from 1 species